UGCAAGUCGAACGAACUCUGGUAUUGAUUGGUGCUUGCAUCAUGAUUUACAUUUGAGUGAGUGGCGCCCUGGUGAGUAACACGUGGGAAACCUGCCCAGAAGCGGGGGAUAACACCUGGAAACAGAUGCUAAUACCGCAUAACAACUUGGACCGCAUGGUCCGAGUUUGAAAGAUGGCUUCGGCUAUCACUUUUGGAUGGUCCCGCGGCGUAUUAGCUAGAUGGUGGGGUAACGGCUCACCAUGGCAAUGAUACGUAGCCGACCUGAGAGGGUAAUCGGCCACAUUGGGACUGAGACACGGCCCAAACUCCUACGGGAGGCAGCAGUAGGGAAUCUUCCACAAUGGACGAAAGUCUGAUGGAGCAACGCCGCGUGAGUGAAGAAGGGUUUCGGCUCGUAAAACUCUGUUGUUAAAGAAGAACAUAUCUGAGAGUAACUGUUCAGGUAUUGACGGUAUUUAACCAGAAAGCCACGGCUAACUACGUGCCAGCAGCCGCGGUAAUACGUAGGUGGCAAGCGUUGUCCGGAUUUAUUGGGCGUAAAGCGAGCGCAGGCGGUUUUUUAAGUCUGAUGUGAAAGCCUUCGGCUCAACCGAAGAAGUGCAUCGGAAACUGGGAAACUUGAGUGCAGAAGAGGACAGUGGAACUCCAUGUGUAGCGGUGAAAUGCGUAGAUAUAUGGAAGAACACCAGUGGCGAAGGCGGCUGUCUGGUCUGUAACUGACGCUGAGGCUCGAAAGUAUGGGUAGCAAACAGGAUUAGAUACCCUGGUAGUCCAUACCGUAAACGAUGAAUGCUAAGUGUUGGAGGGUUUCCGCCCUUCAGUGCUGCAGCUAACGCAUUAAGCAUUCCGCCUGGGGAGUACGGCCGCAAGGCUGAAACUCAAAGGAAUUGACGGGGGCCCGCACAAGCGGUGGAGCAUGUGGUUUAAUUCGAAGCUACGCGAAGAACCUUACCAGGUCUUGACAUACUAUGCAAAUCUAAGAGAUUAGACGUUCCCUUCGGGGACAUGGAUACAGGUGGUGCAUGGUUGUCGUCAGCUCGUGUCGUGAGAUGUUGGGUUAAGUCCCGCAACGAGCGCAACCCUUAUUAUCAGUUGCCAGCAUUAAGUUGGGCACUCUGGUGAGACUGCCGGUGACAAACCGGAGGAAGGUGGGGAUGACGUCAAAUCAUCAUGCCCCUUAUGACCUGGGCUACACACGUGCUACAAUGGAUGGUACAACGAGUUGCGAACUCGCGAGAGUAAGCUAAUCUCUUAAAGCCAUUCUCAGUUCGGAUUGUAGGCUGCAACUCGCCUACAUGAAGUCGGAAUCGCUAGUAAUCGCGGAUCAGCAUGCCGCGGUGAAUACGUUCCCGGGCCUUGUACACACCGCCCGUCACACCAUGAGAGUUUGUAACACCCAAAGUCGGUGGGGUAACCUUUUAGGAACCAGC
rnacentral:rRNA from 1 species